AGUGAACGCUGGCGGUAGGCCUAACACAUGCAAGUCGAACGGCAGCACAGUAAGAGCUUGCUCUUACGGGUGGCGAGUGGCGGACGGGUGAGGAAUACAUCGGAAUCUACUUUUUCGUGGGGGAUAACGUAGGGAAACUUACGCUAAUACCGCAUACGACCUACGGGUGAAAGCAGGGGAUCUUCGGACCUUGCGCGAUUGAAUGAGCCGAUGUCGGAUUAGCUAGUUGGCGGGGUAAAGGCCCACCAAGGCGACGAUCCGUAGCUGGUCUGAGAGGAUGGUCAGCCAACCUGGAACUGAGGAACGGUCCAGACCCCUACGGGGAGCAACAGUGGGGAAUAUUGGGCAAUGGGGGGAAGGCCUAUCCAGCCAUACCGCGUUGGUGAAGAAGGCCUUCGGGUUGUAAAGCCCCUUUGUUGGGAAAGAAAAGCAGCAGGUUAAUACCCCGCUGUUCUGACGGUACCCAAAGAAUAAGCACCGGCUAACUUCGUG
rnacentral:rRNA from 1 species